GACGAACGCUGGCGGCGUGCUUAACACAUGCAAGUCGAACGGAAAGGCCCUGCUUUUGUGGGGUGCUCGAGUGGCGAACGGGUGAGUAACACGUGAGUAACCUGCCCUUGACUUUGGGAUAACUUCAGGAAACUGGGGCUAAUACCGGAUAGGAGCUCCUGCUGCAUGGUGGGGGUUGGAAAGUUUCGGCGGUUGGGGAUGGACUCGCGGCUUAUCAGCUUGUUGGUGGGGUAGUGGCUUACCAAGGCUUUGACGGGUAGCCGGCCUGAGAGGGUGACCGGCCACACUGGGACUGAGAUACGGCCCAGACUCCUACGGGAGGCAGCAGUGGGGAAUAUUGCACAAUGGGCGGAAGCCUGAUGCAGCGACGCCGCGUGCGGGAUGACGGCCUUCGGGUUGUAAACCGCUUUCGCCUGUGACGAAGCGUGAGUGACGGUAAUGGGUAAAGAAGCACCGGCUAACUACGUG
rnacentral:rRNA from 1 species